rnacentral:SRP_RNA from 1 species
UGUAUGGCUAGGCUGGGUGGUUGACCCUCACCUGUCACGUCAAACGGGUCGUUGGACGAGUCGAAGCAUAAGGGGCGGCAGCGUUAGUAUUGAUGGUCUUUUGUAAACUGUUGAUACCCUGUCCUUCUUGGUCGUUAUGCAUACUAACCUGGUCAAAGACGGCAAGCAGGGAACAGAAACCGGCAUACUGUCUUCCAGAGAGGCCCUGACGGGAGCAGCCAUACGUAUGCACAUCGGUGUUUGAAGGGUUGCAGGGAGAAGGAAUACGAAAGGUUAAGCUAUCGGUGUUAGUGUCUGUCCACCCUUGUGCGCGCCACCUU